ensembl:lncRNA NMRAL2P NmrA like redox sensor 2, pseudogene
UGGAAGACGUGGGCUUGAGUUGGUCCUUGAGGGAACAUGACCAUGUAUAGACAGAGGAGGCAUCAAGAAGGCUGGCCUGGCUAAUUCUGGAAUAAACACGACAAACCAGAGGCAGUACGGGAAGGAGGCAAAUUCUGGCUCUGCCUCUAUCCUUGAUUACCCCGGAAGCUUUCGAGAAGCUGGGAUUCCCUGCAGCAAAGGAAAUAGCCAAUAUGUGUCGUUUCUAUGAAAUGAAGCCAGACCGAGAUGUCAAUCUCACCCACCAACUAAAUCCCAAAGUCAAAAGCUUCAGCCAGUUUAUCUCAGAGAACCAGGGAGCCUUCAAGGGCA